rnacentral:rRNA from 1 species
GAAAGAUGAAAAGAACUUUGAAAAAAGGGUUAAAAUACUUGAAAUCGCUGAGGAGGAAGCAGUGGGCUCUGCAGCG